GAUCAAGCGUCAAAAGGGCGUCUGGUGGAUGCCUUGGCGGUAAGAGGCGAUGAAGGACGUGGCACGCUGCGUUAAGUUCCGGGGAGUUGCGAGCAGACUUAGAUCCGGAAAUUUCCGAAUGGGGAAACCCACCUUUACAGACCCUGGCGGUCGCUCGUUCGAGUAAUCGGGCGAUCGAUCACCAGAGUUUGUGAGAGGUAUCUUAUUCUGAAUACAUAGGGAUAAGAAGCGAACUCAGGGAACUGAAACAUCUAAGUACCUGAAGGAAUGGACAUCAAUUGAGACUUCCCUAGUAGCGGCGAGCGAACGGGAACCAGGCCAGUAUUUCAUUGUGCGUCAGCGGAACGAUCUGGAAAGUUCGGCCAUAGUGGGUGAUAGCCCCGUACGCGAAAACAAACUUUGAAAUCUCGAGUAGGGCGGGACACGUGAAAUCCUGUCUGAACAUGGGGGGACCACCCUCCAAGCCUAAGUACUCCUUACCGACCGAUAGUGAACCAGUACCGUGAGGGAAAGGGGAAAAGCACCCCGACGAGGGGAGUGAAACAGACCCUGAAACCGGACGCCUACAAGCAGUCGGAGCCGCCUUGCGCGGUGACGGCGUACCUUUUGUAUAAUGGGUCAGCGACUUCGUCUCUCUAGCAAGCUUAAACCGGUAGGUGUAGGCGCAGCGAAAGCGAGUCUGAAUAGGGCGAUAUAGUUAGAGGGAUGAGACCCGAAACCGAGUGAUCUAGCCAUGUGCAGGUUGAAGGUGCGGUAACACGCACUGGAGGACCGAACCCACGUCUGUUGAAAAAGACGGGGAUGACGUGUGGCUAGGGGUGAAAGGCCAAUCAAACUCGGAAAUAGCUGGUUCUCCGCGAAAUCUAUUUAGGUAGAGCGUCAUCCGAAUACCCUCGGGGGUAGAGCACUGGA
rnacentral:ncRNA from 1 species